rnacentral:lncRNA from 1 species
UUUAAAUGGCCUUAGAAUGGGAUGAAAUUUGAAGGGUAUCAAGGAUAAAAGUGUAGACACCCGAUUCCCUGCUGAGGGAGUCUCAGGAAACAUAAGACCUAGAUACCCUAAGCCAUCCCAGAAAAUUAGACCUUAGUAUCACCAAGUACCUCAAACAUCAACCCAUACGCAAUUUCGACACCUAGAACCAUGGAAACUGGCACCCUGAAGCUUGAGCUUCAUGGACCCUUCAAAAAUCAGUCUUUUGGGCCCAAAUUUGACUCCAAAUGAAAGUAGAGGUCACAAGCUUACCAACUGCUCAAGAAUCGCUCGGAUAUGAUGUACAGUUUGAGAUUUAUGGCUCGUGGGAAUUUGUUCACAAAUAUGAUCAUUUAGUCCCCAGCGAGGCCAUGGGUAACGCUAGAGAGGGUGGCAUCAACACCAUUGGAAUUGGGGGUUCCAACACCAGCAUGACCACCAACAAUGCCUAGGAGCACAAAGUUGGGGUCUCCAAUGCCCAAGAUGGAGGUGGCAACACUGUCAGCAACAAUGUCCGAAAUGAUUGUCUGAACCACUGGCCUGAAGACCCACCAGAAAACAAGGCCCGAAGCAUCAUGAGCGUAGUGUUGGGGGUGCCAACGCCACCCCCAGUCAAACUCCUACAUAUUGAAUAGUAAUUCUGCAGCACAAAUAAUUGAAUUUGAAUGAUUAAAACCUAAGGUUGGUGGUGCCAACGACAACAAUUCAAGAAGCAACGUUGCAAAAAGUCUUCUCCAUACACCUCAUGAAUGGUAUUUUCAUUAAAUUAGAAGGACAAUUAUUGAAAAUGAAAUCACUAUGGUGAGCGUUGGCGAUGCCCAUGUCAACGUUGGAGCUGGCAACACUGGAGAUAGAAAAGAACAACAACUCUGCCAGUGCCAAUGCCCACGUUGGAGGCAGCAGUGCCCAAGGGGGCAUGGCGUUGGCAGUGGCAGUGCCAGCGUUGGCGGUAGUGAUGCUCUCAAUCAAUGAACCCAACCAACACUUGACCACUAGAACAGUGUUUGCAUUAAUGAAAAAAGAUGUUUUGAACACGUCUAAGUGAUUCACCAACAGUGAUGGCACUGUAGACGUGAGUUUCAAAUGGUUAAUGGUGCAAUCGUAGCAGCAUUGCUGGCGCCAACGCUAGCAUUGCCACCGGUGGUGUUCGGAAUCGACAACCCGGAUUGACUCGAAACUUUGUGAUACUGUUUAAGGACUAUUUUUUUAUAAAUAGUGGCCUUGGGUUCUGAAUUUGGGGAACCUUAGAGACUUCGAACCUCAGCUGAAACUUUGCCUCACUCGAGACUCAAAUCCCUAAACCUCGAGACCUAAGUUUGAGCCCUAAUCCCAACAUCCUAAAACCUAAAUUCCGACACUACCAUACACCAAUCCAUCUGAUACAAAUAUCUUCUACCUGAUGGACUCCAAAGGAUUGGAAAACUCAGUGUACCAAGCACAAUUCUGAACCGGCCGUCUACUCCGGGUGCUAGGCUUGGGGGCUUGGCUUAAGGUUUGUUUUUGUUCCUUUUCCCAUUUAUUUUCAGUCUAUUUCAAACUUAUUUUCUCCAAAUCUCUCCCCUUCUUAUCGAAAAACUCUUUUCAAGUAUUCUAGCGGAUUCUCAAUUUCUUCGCCCUUAAAGCCGGUUUUACCGGUUCUGUAUGAGAGCAGCGACUAAAUCCUCGUCCGGGUUAUAAUUCGACGAGACCCUUAUCCUCUACUCUUUCUAUUGACGAGUUUGCAUGCGAAUACGAGGCGGAGGUUGUAUUUCCUCUAUCGAAAUUUUCAUGUAUAAACAGUCUGGCACCUGCCGUGGUGCUUGUCGAGCUCGUGGGGCAUCGAAAACGCAAACAUACUCCUUGGACCUUAGGCCCGAGGGUAGAAUGAGGCGAGAAUCUGCUUUUUCUUUAUUUCGAGAGUUUUCUGGAUCUCGAGGAGGUCAGAGUAGGCAAAUUUGUCGGGGGCAACGCCGGAGUUGGCAACAACAACGAUUGUCUUGAGAACAAGACGCUGCUGGCAAUGCUAGAAUUGCUGGCCCCCACACUAGUUCUUUUUCUCUUUGGUUUUCUAGGGAGCCUAGCAUGGGAUUGACAUCGGCCUUGUUAGCGGCAACAACGCAGAAUUAUCUCAGCACUGCUGUCACGAACGCCAGAACCACUGGGACCAGAUUGCAUCCUCUGGCCUUGAUACUUACCUGUUCCUUCUUUCUAAGCUUUGUUUCUACCUUUUUAUUGUUUCUGCUACAUGGGGGUCACGUCAUCUUGGGAAGGAUCUCGGAUUUAGCUAAGCUUUGCAAUUUCGAAAUUGAAUCAUGGGAAACUUCACCCAAGAUCAAUUCUCACAGAAAAAUGGAAAAUAAGACUUAACGUUAAUCAGCCCAACAGGAUUCUCUAGAUACCCAUUUGGGGUAGUCUAUUGUAAAAUGGCAAAACACCAUUGAGAGGAGGAUUCAGCUGAGCUUUACAAUUAAGAAAUUUUGUUAAGAUGAAUUCUCCAAGAAAAUACAAUGAUGUAGUAAAAGUCCCACAGUUCACCGAACAGGAUUCUUGAGACACCUGUUCGAGGUAAUCUAUGGUAAUAUGCUAAAACACCAUUCAGAGGAGGAUUCACCUGAGCGUUACAAAGAUGAAUUCUUCUCCAAGGAAAAUACAAUGAAGCAGUCUAGUCCCUUAGUUCACCGCAAUGGGAUUCCCGCGAUACCCAUUCCGGGCAGUCUAUUGUAAUAUGGUAAAACACCAUUGAGAAGAGGAUUCAGCUGAGCUUUACAAAGAAAAAUUCUCCAAGAAAAAUGCAAUGAUGAAAUCAUGACCUUCAAUUCACCCCAACGGGAUUCUCAUAAUAUCCGUUCGGCAGUCCAUUAUAAUAUAACAAGCACCAUUGAAGAAGGGAUUCAUCUGAGCUUUACAGUUCAAGAAAAACUUUAUUUAAGAUGAAUUCUCCAAGAAAAAUUUGAUGAUAUAAUCGUAGUUCUGACUAACCAACGUGAUCACUGCCAUACCUGCUCGUGUCAACCAAAAAUCAAGUAUGGUGGAUUUUUCAUGGAUGACAAAUCCCAUGUAAAUGGAAAUUUUGAUGUCCAUUACUGCAUGACAAAAAAUUGUUUAGUUGGCUCCAUGGUUACACGAGCUAAAACUUUUAACUAAAUUCGGUUUAAAAAAUCUCCCUUUCUUCAGAAUACUCCUUUUGCAUUUCUUAAUUUUCAGGUUAUUGAUUUUCGAGUCCUUAAUUUUUCUUAAUUUUCAAUUUCUUAAAUUAAUGGACAAUCCUGAUUCGGAUCCUUUCAAAAUUAGGUGUUUGUUGUUUUAAAAAACUUUAAUUUCUUUGGUUCAAAUUGUAAUCCGGCAUCAACAUCUGUUUUUUUUUUAAAAAAUUCUCCUUGUUUUCAAGAUUUUCCUAAAAAUAUUUUGGAAAACAAAAGAGUCGGAUCCACGCUUGGUAAUGAUGAUCAGAAUGUGCCCUAAGAUUGACUGGCUCCAAAGAGAACGUCGCUGGAAGAAAGGUUUCAUGGAUCGGAAUACAAACUAUUCCAGUCCCCCCCUAAAACUCGCAAAUUUCCCUAAAAAAUCCCUUAAAUCUCCUAAACCAACCAAUCUAUAGGUCAAUUCCCUUGAAAACACCCAGGGCACGAGGUAGUAAUCUACUCAACCGGAAUUCUCUGCCUUCUCAUUUAGGGCCACUUUUCAAUCUAUGUUUUAAACACCAGGGGUUCUGUCUUCCUUGGAAUCUGACACCCCCACCUUAGCCAACAAAAUGGAGGUAGCGAUCGCCCCGACCUAUGGGCUAAGCUCACCUCCAGGUCCCAGAGACCACAGGCGCCACAGGCCGGCUGUUGUCAGAUACUCAAAUGAUGUCUCUCUUUAAAAGUAUUUUGUCCAUCUUUGUAUUUCUCUUGCUCUGUAUCUCAAGUGUCCUUUUUUGCCACUCAUCUCGUAUCGCACUUGUGCAACAUGAGCGACCAAGAGAGGCAACUGUAGACACCCGAUCCUCGGCUGAGGGAGUCUCAAGGAACCGAAGACCUAGCACCAUAGAUUCCCUAAGCCAUCUCACAAAAUUAGAGCUUAGUUUCACCAAAUACCUCAGAAAUCAACCUAUACACAAUUUCGACACCUAGAACCAUG